AGUCCGGCACGAGAGAGAGCUGGGCCUCCGCCUUCUCCGCCACAGCUCCUCACCGAGAUGGUGUCCCCCGAUCCUGCCGGUUGGUCCGUCUUCUCCGCGCUCGAUGUCCAGCAGCCUACCGCCUGCUCCAGAUCUGCGACACCGGCGACUGAUUCACACACGCUGCCAAUUCUAAUUCGCCGAUUGGACCACUGAAAUAUCAGGGUCGUCCUCGGCGGUGGCGUACCCGUGAAGCCAACCUUCGUGACCCGGCAUCCUCCUCACCAUCAGCCCUUCCGAGAUGUAGUGGCAUGAUCCACGGCGCCUUGCUGGGCGCGGCCUUCCGCGAUGAAGGUUUCCGUCGGCACGGCCGCGUUGCUGCUCUCUCCAGGUUAAGUAUGGGUUGCCUCUACCUUUCCUCCCGAUUGGGUGGCCUCUGUUUUCUAACUUCUUUCUCCUGUUGUAAUUCUGAUGCGUGCCAGUAUAGGGUUCGAGGCAGACAGAGCACGCAGUCGUUGAUGGAGGCAUUGUGGGUGCUGAUGUGGGCUAAGAUGGCGGAGGACAGACAUAGGAGACCAUGAGAACUUCGUGCACGAGCUUGCUGGCUUUUCUGGCGACCACCACAGCGGGCAACCCGGCGGCCAGGUGACCUCAUUCUUCUCCUCCUUCACAUCUCUAAUCUCUUCUAUGUCUUCAGUUUCAGUUUCAGUCCAGUCAGGACACAGGCCUUAGCAUGUGCAGAUUGUGGACGGUAGUUAUUUUUGUUAAGCAGCAUGCUGUAUUGAUAUUGAUCCGUACAGUAGUGGAGAAUAAUGAACGCACUAUAUACGAAAUGUGUACUCUCUUUCUCAUAUUGCUCCAUAUAAAUCAAUUGGCAUCAAUGAAGUGCUCUGUCUGCUUAUCCUUUCGUGUUUGUCUUUCAGACUUCUUGCUCACUUCUUUUGACAUGUCAUGUUGUCGGAUGGUGUCUCAAUUGGUAUGAUUGUCUAACAUCUAGCUGAAUUUAGAUGGAAAUUAAAUUAAUAUGUUUCCGUUGAUCUUUUUAUGUGCUGGAUAAAUAAUCAUGAUUGGGAUGAUGUGUCAGGUACAAAAUAAUCUGUGAGAACUUGCAGAUCAAAUUGCAGAGAGACUAAGGUUGUGAACAUGACAGUGGUCAUUGCUACCAUGCUUCCGCUGAUCUUUUUAUGUGCUGAUUAAGUAAAUAUUGGCACCGUUGUAUUGGCCGGUGAGCCAUUAACAACUAAGCUAACAAGUGGCAUAGUUGAUUAUUUUGUACUACUUCCAAUUAUAGUUUUUGUCCAAGUUGAAGUUUGAGAUGCGCUUCUAUGUAUGUUAGAUCAGUUCCAUGCUGAUAUUGAAGGAACAACAUAAGCUUUCAGGUGAUGCCUAAGUCGUUCAGAAAAUUGAUUUUAUGAUCUAAGAUUUCUCAUGCUCAUUGCUUAACAUUGGCACUAUUAUUUCCUGUGUCCGCAGUCUUUUUCGAGAACCCACAACAUCCAAUGAUUAUUGUUGAACAGACAUGCCAUAUAUUUGUAGGCUGAUACUUAUGUAAUGCAAAAUGGAAGUAGACUAGGCAAGCAGAAAGUUUGAUUUUGUUCGACAGCUUCUCUUCUGUUCCUCAUAUAUAACGGAGUUUUUCCAAAUCAUGCAGAUAAUUUGUUUUCUAUUAAGAAGCUAAUAGUCUAUAGGGGAUGGUGCAUUCUCACGGAAGCUUCUCUUAUGUUCCACAUAUAUAACAGAGUUUUUCCUAAACCUAAAUCAUGCAGAUAGAUUGUUUUCUAUUAAGAAGCUAAUAGCCUUUAGGAGAUGGUACAUUCUCACUACCUACUUUAUCCAGGAUGAAAGUUUGAGGCUUAUAUAUUAUGUAAAGAUCAACAUGUAUAUUGAAAUGCAUGUAUUAUCUUUGAUUUCAAGGCCAUCAUUUUUUUACUAUUGAUUGUACUACUUCAAAUCUGCGAUGCAUUGAUCCAUUUUAAUUUCAAAAUUGGGCACUAUCUUAGAAUGCACUGAGGCAAAUAGGGCCUAUAAUAUAACAACUGUAGGAUUCGCAUGGUCUUUAUAUAACCAAGAUGCGCACGUUUUUUUUUUCUUUCCCUUGUGAGUACAAAACUGGGAAAGAUUCGAGAUCUAGCUGGGCAAGUGGCCGGUUGACAACAUAUCUGAUGGUAUCGGUUAUGUUCCUUUUUUAUGUGCCAUCGCAUUAUUCUUGCUGUUGUUUUCUUGACUUCAGUUUAGCUUUGUGCCUCACUUGCGGCUUCUCUAGGUUAUGCAUCGAAGUUUAUAUGACUUGGACUUCAUUGUUUCUGACCAUGAGGUACACCUCCACAAAUCCACACAUAUACACUCUUUCUGCAUAAAUUCCUUGAAUUAUCAGAAAUAAUUUUGGCCCUUUGCCAAAAAAAAAUGUACCACAAUCCAGAUUUUCUAUACGAUUAUCACAGAAAAAUUUGAAAUAAACGUUCACCACCAUGAAGAUAAUCCAAGAUUUUGAUUUAGCAAAUCUUUUGAUUUCCUGCACCACGCACCAUUCAGAUACUGGUUCUAAGAAUUUUUGUGUAUGUAAGAAGUGAGAAUUUAGGAGGUAAGGCAUUGUAAUAUGGAAGACCAUGAUGGUAUGCAAUUGUGUAUGUAAGAAAGUGGUGUGUAAGUUUGUUUAUUUUGUCAGUUGGGCCCUCUAUGUUGAUGUUCAUUCACGAGCAUUGGAAACACAUGAACAUGAUGAAAGAUCAUAAUGGAAGAUCUGAGCAAUGAUCAUCCACGCUGGAUUAGUGUUUCAUUUAUACUAAAGAUGACGCAGCAAGUUUUUUCCGUUCAAAUUGUAAGCUUUUCUAUUUACGGGAUCUCAGUGCAGAUUCUUUUAUAGGAUACCUGUUGCUGCUAAAUUUUUUUGCAUGCUCUCAAAGUUGAGUGAUAUGAACAAUAAUUUUACUUAUUAUAUUGUGGUACUUAACGUGCAAAUAUUACUUGCCUUUUGCCUCAACGAGUGUGACCAGCACCUCACGGCAUGCAGAAGAUGAAAAAGGUGAGGCGACAUCUGAAAUCGGAAACGUGGUAUAUCGAGAAAUAGGAAACUGUUUGUGACAACAUGAACAUCUUUUUUUUGUACUUCAAGUACAUGUAAAUUUCAUGCCAUUGCGUGCAUCACAUCUAAAUCACUUGCAGUUUGACCAGCCGAGUCAUUACCAUUGGUAUAUAACUGUUUGUUCCAAUGUGAAUGUUUUUUCUUGGCACUGCAAAUAUGUAGGUUCUGCUUCUGUGUGGUUUAUAUGUCUUUUUUAUUCAAUCCCCUUCUAUGUAUACUGAUGCUCUGUCUUUUUCUUUAUGUCACCUGCAUUUCAAUUGGUCGAAGGGACUAAUGUUAGUGCUUCACUUAAAUAAUAUGUACCACUUUUGUGAGCCGGCUAUUUUCCUGCUUCAUCUUCUCUUACAGAUGCCUACUCAGUACUCACUAAUGUUGCCAGCUUUCUAAAUAAUAUAUUACUUGAAACAUUGAAUCCCCUCUCACUUACGUUACUUCAAGCUACAUUCUUAUAUAAUUUUUUUAUUAUACCUGAGACAAUGUUCAAGUUCUUAUUCCCUCUUCAAUGUGUUUCUACUUUAUUGGCCCAAUCAGUAUUAUAAGGUAUCUGUUUUUUCAGAUAUUCUUAUAUUUUUUAUGGUUAGCACCAAUCUUCAGUUCUUACUUUGUGUAUAUAUUAUUGUGGAUCCUAAAGAAACACUAAACCGUUUUUUAAAAUUCUAGGGAUGAAGGAUGUGUACCAGCUAACCGCAUGAAUCAGUUCAGAGACCAACUGAAGGAAGGUUCAGUUUACAACUUCAAAGCAUUCAUCGUAGGCUAGACGCAAAAGAAGUACAGAGCUAAUGAUCAUCUAUACAGAACCAAGAUUAGCGAGAUCACAAAGAUGGAGUAAGGUAGUGGUAAAAAAUUAUAGUUACUCAAUGGUACUUGUGAUUUCUGUGAAUGGACGGCACUUUUCAUUUAUUAUUGAAAUGGUGAACGCUGAUGGUUUGGCCAUGUACCUUGCCCUACGUCACGUCCAGAUAUCCUACAGGUCGAUAUGGUGAUGCAGCUGCAAUGGAGAAAACCUCAUCUAACACUCAAGAGAUGUCGCCUCCUCUGUCCAGAUCCCACUACACAAGUGAUGGAUCAAGUUGCUGCUGAACCUAGAAGAAAAGAUAUUGGAGGGGCCAAUGUUGGAGUUGACAACGAAGGAAGUCGAUGAUGGAAGUGAGCACACACUGGAUUAAUGUUUGUUUUGGAUAGUGUCAAGAUAACAUAAUUAAUGACAAGGUGAAUAUAUGAUCAGCAGUUCUAAGCUUCCUUGUGACAAUGCACUCUUUUUAUAGAGAGAAUAAUAUGCUAAUUGAUGUGGCUUACUUUGUACUCGAA